CCUACGGGUGGCUGCAGUGGGGAAUAUUGGACAAUGGGGGCAACCCUGAUCCAGCCAUGCCGCGUGUGUGAAGAAGGCCCUCGGGUUGUAAAGCACUUUCAGUGAGGAAGAACGCCUGGUGGUUAAUACCCAUCAGGAAAGACAUCACUCACAGAAGAAGCACCGGCUAACUCCGUGCCAGCAGCCGCGGUAAUACGGAGGGUGCGAGCGUUAAUCGGAAUUACUGGGCGUAAAGCGCGCGUAGGUGGCUUGAUAAGCCGGUUGUGAAAGCCCCGGGCUCAACCUGGGAACGGCAUCCGGAACUGUCAAGCUAGAGUGCAGGAGAGGAAGGUAGAAUUCCCGGUUUAGCGGUGAAAUGCGUAGAGAUCGGGAGGAAUACCAGUGGCGAAGGCGGCCUUCUGGACUGACACUGACACUGAGGUGCGAAAGCGUGGGUAGCAAACAGGAUUAGAUACCCGAGUAGUC
rnacentral:rRNA from 1 species